GACGAACGCUGGCGGCGUGCUUAACACAUGCAAGUCGAACGGAAAGGCCCUGCUUGCAGGGUACUCGAGUGGCGAACGGGUGAGUAACACGUGGGUGAUCUGCCCUGCACUUCGGGAUAAGCCUGGGAAACUGGGUCUAAUACCGGAUAGGACCAUCGUUUAGUGUCGGUGGUGGAAAGUUUUUCGGUGCAGGAUGAGCUCGCGGCCUAUCAGCUUGUUGGUGGGGUAAUGGCCUACCAAGGCGUCGACGGGUAGCCGGCCUGAGAGGGUGGACGGCCACAUUGGGACUGAGACACGGCCCAGACUCCUACGGGAGGCAGCAGUGGGGAAUAUUGCACAAUGGGCGCAAGCCUGAUGCAGCGACGCCGCGUGGGGGAUGAAGGCCUUCGGGUUGUAAACUCCUUUCAGCCAUGACGAAGCGUAAGUGACGGUAGUGGUAGAAGAAGCACCGGCUAACUACGUG
rnacentral:rRNA from 1 species